GAGUUUGAUCAUGGCUCAGAACGUACGCUGGCGGCACGCCUAACACAUGCAAGUCGAACGAAGUAGCAAUACUUAGUGGCAAACGGGUGAGUAUAAUGUGGGAAUCUGCCCUUUGGUUUGGAAUAACACGAGGAAACUUGUGCUAAUACCGGAUAAGCCUUCACAGGGAAAGCUUUACGCGCCAAAGGAUGAGUCCGCACUUGAUUAGCUAGUUGGUAAGGUAAAGGCUUACCAAGGCUACGAUCAAUAGCUGAUCUGAGAGGAUGAUCAGCCACAUUGGGACUGAGACACGGCCCAAACUCCUACGGGAGGCAGCAGUGGGGAAUCUUGCACAAUGGGGGAAACCCUGAUGCAGCGAUGCCGCGUGAGUGAAGAAGGCCCUUGGGUUGUAAAGCUCUUUCGUCGGGGAAGAAAAUGACUGUACCCGAAUAAGAAGGUCCGGCUAACUUCGUGCCAGCAGCCGCGGUAAUACGAAGGGACCUAGCGUAGUUCGGAAUUACUGGGCUUAAAGAGCUCGUAGGUGGUUAGAAAAGUUAGUGGUGAAAUCCCAAGGCUUAACCUUGGAACUGCCACUAAAACUUUUUAACUAGAGUGUGAUAGAGGUAAGCGGAAUUUCUAGUGUAGAGGUGAAAUUCGUAGAUAUUAGAAAGAACACCAAUUGCGAAGGCAGCUUUCUGGAUCAUUACUGACACUGAGGAGCGAAAGCAUGGGUAGCGAAGAGGAUUAGAUACCCUCGUAGUCCAUGCCGUAAACGAUGUGUGCUAGACGUUGGAAAUUUAUUUUUCAGUGUCGCAGCAAAAGCGUUAAGCACCCCGCCUGGGGAGUACGACCGCAAGGCUAAAACUCAAAGGAAUUGACGGGGACCCGCACAAGCGGUGGAACAUGUGGUUUAAUUCGAUGCAACGCGAAGAACCUUACCUGGGCUUGACAUGUUCAUGAAAGCUCUGUGAAAGCAGAGCCCUCUGCGAGCUUGCUCAAAGACGUGAUCACAGGUGAUGCAUGGCUGUCGUCAGCUCGUGUCGUGAGAUGUUGGGUUAAGUCCCGCAACGAGCGCAACCCCUUUCCUUAGUUGCCAGCACAUUAUGGUGGGGACUCUAAGGAUACUGCCUGGGAUAACCAGGAGAAAGGUGGGGAUGAUGUCAAGUCAGUAUGUCCCUUAUGUCCAGGGCUACACACGUGUUACAAUGGCUAGUACAAAGGGUUGCCAACCCGCGAGGGGGAGCCAAUCCCAAAAAACUAGCCCCAGUUCAGAUUGGAGUCUGCAACUCGACUCCAUGAAGGAGGAAUCGCUAGUAAUCGUGGAUCAGCACGCCACGGUGAAUACGUUCCCGGGUCUUGUACACACCGCCCGUCACGCCAUGGAAGUCAGCAGUACCCAAAGCAGGUCGCCUAACCUUCGGGAGGGAGCCUUUUAAGGUAAGGCUGGUAACUGGGGCGAAGUCGUAACAAGGUAGCC
rnacentral:rRNA from 1 species